ACCACCAUUUUGAAGGGCAAAACUUAAAGACCACCCCGUAAUAAGGGCAUUCCUGCUAAUUGCCCCAUGAGGAUUGGGUUCAGUAAGCAAAAGUGAUGAAUUUGCCCCCUCCCUCCCCCGCGCAAGGUAUACGUGAGGCUCAAAUUAAAUCUAGUUUUACUUCUUAGUGACUGGGUUUCUACAAUUACAUAACCAUUUGGCAGGUUUCAAUAUAUAAAUACAAGAUCUACAGUAGCGGGUGGGGGUGCCACCUGAAGGACCGGCCAUAUGUACCUCAAGAGUCUCAAGCCAUUUAAAUUAAAAAAAAUAGAACAAGGUGACAGAAUCUUAAAAUACGAGGGCUAUUGAUUGAUCAAGUCAUUAAACAUAUUCGAUCAAUAUUUCAUAAACUUUAAUGGAUAAUCGAACAAAAGGAAACAACUUGCUAGCUUACCUUUUUCAUGUCAUUUGCUUUCUCCUUUAACUUAAUUUUAGUCUCAGCCAUUUUGAGAAGUCUUUGUUCUUUAUUCAGUAAAAUUCCUCUGUACUUUCUUUUUUUGCCUUAUCUGGCCAUUAUUGUUGUUAGGCUUAGCCACAUUUUUGGUUUGGCCAGAAAAGAAGUACCUUAUAACAGGUCUUGAAGAACCACUUGCAAUAUUAUUGACCAAUUGUCCACCAUUUCCUUUAUAAAAAAUUUUCUUUUUCUUCUUGAACCGAAAGAUUAGUCUGGAAGAAUCAAGCUCAUGGCUAUGGAAUGAAGGUGUAAUCAAGAGGUGAAUGAACACUUAGCUUUUAUUUACCUCUUCUUCUAUGAACUGACAUGAGAAAAAUGAGCCUAGCAUUCAAGGCACGUGUGGGCAAUAUAUGUAAGAAUUUAUGGACUUCCGCAUAUAUACAAAUAAUAGUUGUAUGUUAUUAGCUAUCAUUAGAAGGUUGGCCCUCAUCAAAAGUGAUCUACUAAAGACUAAAAUAUAUGAGCCUAAUUAAAUACCUCAUAAAGUAUGGGUUACUAUGUGUAGAUACCCGGUUGUAAUUUCUAGUUUAAUGAUGGGCUAAACUAGAAAUUAACAUAACUUGUGCAAUUAUAAAUAAGGGCCGGGGUUAUGGUCCCCAAACCAGACCUAGGGUUUUCUUUUCUGAUUUCCCGUCUAAAAUAAAGAAUAAACGGCUUACGUCUAGGUUUGGAAGGCCAAAGACCGAUAGUUGACCAAAUCCGGUUUUGUCAUGGAUUCAGCUGAAAUACACCCGCAAGUAUUACUGCCAACAUCAAUUCCAUUCCCAUGCUAAAUGGCACCAACUUCAAAUCAUGGCAAGAGAACCUUAACAUAGUUCUCGGAGUCAUGGAUCUCGACCUUGCGUUAAGGACUAACUCUCCACCACCUCUUACAGACAAGAGUACCUCUGAUGAAAAGAGGGAGAUGGAAAGGUGGGAGAGAUCAAAUCGCAUGUGUAUGAUGAUCAUGAAGAAGGCCAUUCCAGAAUCAUUCAGGGACACUAUGUCUGACAAGGUUAAGACGGCUAAGGAAUUUAUUACUGAAAUUAAAAAAGUAUUUGUCAAGAGUGAAAAGGCUGAAAUUGGUACACUUUUGACAAGUCUGAUUUCAAUGAAGUACCAAGGAAAAGGUAACAUUAGGGAGUACAUCAUGCAGAUGUCUCAUCUUGCUUCAAAGUUGAAAGCACUUAAGUUGGGACUCUCUGAGGACUUGCUAUUGCAUCUGGUUUUAAUAUCCCUUCCAUCACAGUUUAGUCAUUUUAAGGUGAGCUAUAACUGUCAGAAAGAGACUUGGUCUCUGAAUGAGCUCAUCUCACACUGUGUUUAGGAAGAGUAUAGAUUGAAGCAAGAAAAGAUAGAAAGUGCUCACUUAGCCGUUGUUCCAAAGGACAAAAGAAAAGACAAGAAGAGAAAGAAUAAGGAAGUUGCAGAUAUGGCACCACAGAAGAAACAACAUAAGGAACCAUCUACAAAUGGUUGUUUCUUUUGCGGAGCUGCAGGUCAUAAGAAGAAGCAGUGCUCUAACUAUCACGCCUGGCGUGCAAAGAAAGGGUUGCUUGAAUUGCCGAAAGGCUAAUAAUGGUGAAAGAUACAUUUACAUUGGUGAUGGCAAGUCGGUGGAAGUCGAAGCAAUUGGAACCUUUAGAUUAUUGUUAAGAACUGGUUUUUAUUUGGAUUUGAAUGAGACUUUUAUUGUACCGUCUUUUAGACGAAAUUUGAUUUCUAUUUCAGCUUUGGACAAAUUUGGUUAUUGUUGUUCAUUUGGAAAUGCAAAAUUUAGUCUUUCUCAUAAUUCAA